CUGAACUCAUCAAAAAUAGUGGAUCUACUGUUAUUGAAGGUGGUAAGCUUUUUACUUUUAACUUUUAAAAUGUAGCUGUUCAGUGUUGAUCUUUGCUUCCAAACAUAAUCUCAAACCUUAACCCGAUUGUUUUUGUUGCACUGGAUGUGUUUCACAGAGCCUCAUCUUCUGUUGAAUUUUUUAAUACGCCUUCAGUCAUUGUCGUUUUCAAGAUUAACGAGUGGGGGAUUGUUGCCCAACUAUCUUUUUGGAAAGAUACAUCGGCAUACCGUUUUCUUUCUUUUCGGCUUUUCUCUAUCGCUUCUUCUUCUUCUUCCUCUUUAUAAUAUGAAACCUUAAUUUGGUAUAUUACUUGGGCUUAAGCUUUUGGGCCAUGUUGGUAACUUGGUAUACCCACUCUGUCCAAUUUGUUUGGCCAGUAGGUUGCUUGGGGUGUGACAUGAAAAUUCUUCAAACUGGACUUGACAUGUACAGUGGCAAAAGAUGCUAUUUCAAGGUAUGUUAGACGAAUUGUUUUUGAAGGAGGACUCAUUGUAGAUCCAGAUCAGGGGGAGUUUCUCUACCCUGUGGGAACCAUGGACUUGCAAAUUUAGCAUUGCCUGCAUUACCUGGAGAUUCUCAAAAGGUUUCUAGACCAGCAAUGGUUUCAACUGUCAGUUGGCCAUAUGCUACAGGCCAAUUAUCCUCAGCAAACAGGGAAACUGAUUUCCUUCGCUUUCGGGAAGCCUGGUCUCUUUUACAUAGUGCUGCUGAUGUUGCUGGGAGGAGUGAAAUCCUAAAAGCUUUUCCAAUGCAUCGAACUGGAAGGAUAAGACCAAAUCCUGAAUCCAUGUUUCGUGUACUAUCUGGAAUGUAUUUUCCAGGCAAACAGGAUAGGAUUUCAGGAUCUGCAAGGGAUCUACUGCUGGUCUGCUGCUGCUGCUGCCGGUGUGCUGCUGCAGAAUUUUGCUGGGCUGUUGCUGCUGCUGCAAUGUUGCUGUGAAGCGGGCUGCUGCUAGAUGCUGGUCUGCUGCAAAUUUGGGUUGUUGUUAGCCCUAUGAAUUCAAUACAUAAUCGGAUGUUUGUGAAAAUCUGAAUCAGACAUGUCAGCAUUCAAAGCAGCAAAUCUAGCUGCUGUAUUUGAAGAUUUUAUCCACUGGCAUUCACCUAGAGAUUGGGAGAACGAUGACUUCGAAGAGAGUGGAGAAGUGUCUACAAAUGAUGCAAUGGAAUCGUUAAAAAACAAUUGGCCUCCUCGAGGAUGACUUUCAAAGAGAAUGUCUGAGCAUGGGAAUUUGUGGCAAAAAAUUUGGAAUGGUGCACCUGCUUUGCCAGCAUCUGAGCAGAAGCCACUUUUGGACCCUAAUCGAGAAGGAGAAAAGGUAAAAUUCUUUGUAAAUGUGCACAUCAUGCGAUUUUUUUUAAAAAAAUAUUUGGACUACUCUAACUUUUAUGUUUCCCAACAAAAUAUUAGCAAAUGUAGGAUGUUACAACGAAGGUCUCAAGUUCAUAAAACUGGUCUGCUGCUGCGGCUGCUGUCGGUGUGCUGCUGCAGAAUUUUGCUAGGCGGCUGCUGCUGCUGCUGCAAUGUUGUUGUGAAGCGGGCUGCUACUAGAUGCUGGUCUGCUGCAAAUUUGGGUUGUUGUUAGUUUUAUGUUUUCAUUUUGUUAUCUGCUGUUUUUACUAUGGGUUCACAAUUUGGAUGGAUUUGAGUAUUUUAGUGAGUUUACCCUUUUAGGUUUUAUACAACGCUUCCAAAAGCAUAUUUUUCAGCAGUGUUUUUUUUGCAUACACAUCAACUUUAGGUGAUUUAAUAUCAAUGCUAUUAGUUUGUAAUAGCAGUGCCUGAGGGAUGCCUCUUGUAAAUAUGUAAAUCUUAUAAAAAAAUAUAUAUGAUUUUCAAUUUUUUUUGCC